UCCUACGGGAGGCAGCAGUGAGGAAUAUUGCGCAAUGGGUGAAAAACCUGACGCAGCGACGCCGCGUGGGGGAUGAAGGCUUUCGGGUUGUAAACUCCUUUCGACCGGGACGAUAAUGACGGUACCGGUGGAAGAAGCCCCGGCUAACUACGUGCCAGCAGCCGCGGUA
rnacentral:rRNA from 1 species